UCAUAGAUUUAAGCCAUGCAAGUGUUAGUUCAGGUAACGAAACUGCGAAUAGCUCAUUAAUACGCUCAGAAUCUAUUGGCGGCGACCAACAGGUCUUAAAUGGAUAGCAGCAGCAACUCUGGUGCUAAUACAUGCGAUUGUUUCUCCAGAUGUGAAUUAUGGAGGAAAAGUUGACCUCAUCAGAGGCACGCCAUUCGACUGAGUGACCUAUCAGCUUGUACUUAGGGUCUUUACCUAGGUAGGCUAUCACGGGUAACGGGCGGUUACCGUCGGACUGCCGGAGAAGGCGCCUGAGAGAUAGCGACUAUAUCCACGGGUAGCAGCAGGCGCGAAACUUUCCCACUCGAGACUUUCGGAGGAGGUAAUGACCAGUUCCAUUGGUGCCUUUUGGUACUGUGGAUAGGGGUACGGUUUUCCACCGUACCGAAACCUAGCAGAGGGCCAGUCUGGUGCCAGCAGCUGCGGUAAUUCCAGCUCUGCGAGUUUGCUCCCAUAUUGUUGCAGUUAAAACGCCCGUAGUCUGAAUUGGCCAGCAAUGGUCGUACGUAUUUUUACGUUCACUGUGAACAAAUCAGGACGCUUAGAGUAUGGCCACAUGAAUGACUCAGCGCAGUAUGAAGUCUUUGUUUUCUUCCGAAAACAAGCUCAAUGAGAGCCAUCGGGGGUAGAUCUAUCUCAUGACGAGUGGUGGAAUACUUUGACUCAUGAGAGAGAAGCUGAGGCGAAGGCGUCUACCUAGAGGGUUUCUGUCGAUCAAGGGCGAGAGUAGGAGUAUCCAACAGGAUUAGAGACCCUGGUAGUUCCUACCUUAAACGAUGCCGACAGGAGUUUGUCAUUUGUUAAUGGCAGAAUCUUUGGAGAAAUCAUAGUUCUUGGGCUCUGGGGGAACUACGACCGCAAGGCUGAAACUUGAAGGAAUUGACGGAAGGGCACACCAGGGGUGGAGCCUGUGGCUUAAUUUGAAUCAACACGGGGAAACUUACCAGGACCAGAUGUUUUUUAUGACUGACAGGCUUCGGGUCUUUCAGGAUAUUGUUUUUGGUGGUGCAUGGCCGUUGGUGGUGCGUGGGUG
rnacentral:ncRNA from 1 species